GUUCAGGUUUGAGAGUAGCCCCCGAUACGUUGCCAGGUUGAUACCAAACAACGUGCGGGGGUUUUCU
rnacentral:antisense_RNA from 10 species